UACGUAGGGUGCGAGCGUUAAUCGGAAUUACUGGGCGUAAAGCGUGCGCAGGCGGUUCGUGAUGUCUGAUGUGAAAGCCCCGGGCUCAACCUGGGAAUUGCAUUGGAAACUAGCGGGCUGGAGUGUGGCAGAGGGGGGUGGAAUUCCACGUGUAGCAGUGAAAUGCGUAGAGAUGUGGAGGAACACCGAUGGCGAAGGCAGCCCCCUGGGCCAACACUGACGCUCAGGCACGAAAGCGUGGGGAGCAAACAGG
rnacentral:rRNA from 1 species